UCUAUAGAUAGGUUCUUGGAUCAUCAUGGGAAUAAAAAGAUUUGAAACUUUACUCUUAAUUGGGGUUCUCUUCAGGCAUCUCUGAUGAUAAUUUUUGGCUGAUCACGUGGAUCCUUGUAGCAGUAAGGUGUAAUGUUGAAGUGCUUGAAUUUUGUUGUUCAACUUGGCAUUCACCUGAGAUUAUAGAAUUUCCAUCGGGGUUUGGCCUUCGUUUUGUUGGUGCCUUAUAUUCCCACUAUCACUAAUGUUGGUGGCAAAACAGUUUUUUAUAAUAUUUAUUUUUACCACUAUUGCUGAACGUGGCUUGGUAAAAAGUGCACCGAUAUGAUCGAGGAUGAGGUUUUUCUCUUCGUUCAUCAAUUCAAUCUCUUUCUUCUUAAAGCGGAAUGUAGACCCAAAUCCUCAUCCUCAAUUCAUGUCUAGUUUAGGUGAUGGCAGAAACCAAGCCGACGUUGUCGCUCCACCCCAUGACCCAAAGCUAUCGAAAGAGUUCGAGAUAGAUUGGAGAGAGGAGUGAGAUAGAUUUGGGUUUGAUCAUUUUUUUCUCUAUGAUAUGAAAGUGGCUCCGACCAUGCUAGACAUUGAUUUCGGGGUUCAUCAACUGUGAAUUGCUGGCUGAUGUAUAAUGACUCUCUGGAAACUCUAUUUCAUGGUCGAUGGUUCUAAAUUAUACACAAGAGAGAAAAACUUCGUACACCAACAAUUGUGAAUUGUAAAGCCAUAUUCGUAACACAAGUCCAGUCAACAUGCCCCUCGCUUGCUGAUAUGUCUCAUAUCUUCUCCUGUGUGCAUACAAUUAGCAACAUUUUUUUGUAGCUAAUGUUAUAUGCAUACUGUUAACCUUUUUAUAUAAGAUAAAUCAAGAAUGAUUUUUGAGUCAUAUUGUUAUGUUCUAUUCGUACCAAGUUUAAUGUUUUCGUGAGUAUCAUAAGAUUAUGCGAGUUAAGGUUUUACAAUGUGCUUAGUUUUUAACUCUAGGUUAAUUUUCAAGUUGAUGCUGAUCCGGUAAAUUGGAACAUCCUCAGAAUGAACUUCAGGAAAUGAAGAACAAAAAGAGACAAGAAUAUGUUGGUCACUAAAGAAUGUCUCUUCCUAUUUGUUAAUGCAUCUUAUAAUGGUUGUUUAUGCCAUACUACCA